UCUUACCAAACCAUGGCAAACUCCGAAUACUUGGAAGUUUGAGCACGGGAGACAGAGCACCGGGUGCUAACGUCCGGACUCAAGAGGGAAACAACCCAGACCGCCGGCUAAGGUCCCUAAUAUUGACUAAGUGGAAAACGAAGUGGAAAGGCUAAGACAGUCAGGAAGUUGGCUUAGAAGCAGCCAUCCUUCAAAGAAAGCGUAAUAGCUCACUGAUCGAGUCUUUCUGCGCGGAAGAUGUAACGGGGCUAAGUCAAUAACCGAAGCCGCGGAUUCACACUUAUGUGUGAGUGGUAGGGGAGCGUUCUGUAAGCCUGCGAAGGUGUUCCGUAAGGAAUGCUGGAGGUAUCAGAAGUGAGAAUGCUGACAUGAGUAGCGAAAAGAAGUGUGAGAGACACUUCCGCUGAAAGUCCAAGGUUUCCUGCGUAAAGCUAAUCUGCGCAGGGUUAGUCGGCCCCUAAGGUGAGGCUGAGAAGCGUAACUGAUGGGAACAAGGUUAAUAUUCCUUGACCACCGCUGAAUGCGAAGGGGGGACGGAGUAUUGAAGAUCAUCCGGGUGUUGGAUAUCCCGGUUUGCGAGCGUAGGAGGCUGACAGGCAAAUCCGUCAGCGAAUCUCCGAGGCAAAGCAUCGAGCUCUCUUUUGAGCGAAGUGAUUGGAUGUGCUUCCAGGAAAAGCCUCUAAGCUCCAGUUCAGCGGGACCGUACCGCAAACCGACACUGGUGGGCGAGCUGAAUAUGCUCAGGCGCUUGAGAGAACUCAGGAGAAGGAACUCGGCAAAUUGACCCCGUAACUUCGGGAUAAGGUGUGCCUUUGUAGCGUGGAGGGAGAAACACCCCGAGCGCGAAGAGGUCUCAGAUAAUCGGUGGCUGCGACUGUUUAUUAAAAACACAGCACUCUGCAAAGACGAAAGUCGACGUAUAGGGUGUGAUGCCUGCCCGGUGCUGGAAGAUUAAUUGAUGGGGUGCAAGCUCCUGAUCGAAGUCCCAGUAAACGGCGGCCGUAACUAUAACGGUCCUAAGGUAGCGAAAUUCCUUGUC
rnacentral:rRNA from 1 species